CACACCGCCCGUCACAUCACGAAAGUCGGUUGCACUAGAAGUCGGUGGGCUAACCCGCAAGGGAGGCAGCCGCCGAGGGCGGAGCCAGCGAUUGGGACG
rnacentral:rRNA from 1 species